rnacentral:rRNA from 1 species
UACGUAGGGUGCAAGCGUUAAUCGGAAUUACUGGGCGUAAAGCGUGCGCAGGCGGCUUUUUAAGCUUGAUGUGAAAUCCCCGGGCUCAACCUGGGAAUGGCAUUGAGGACUGGAAGGCUAGAGUGUGGCAGAGGGAGAUGGAAUUCCACGUGUAGCAGUGAAAUGCGUAGAGAUGUGGAGGAACACCGAUGGCGAAGGCAGUCUCCUGGGCCAACACUGACGCUCAUGCACGAAAGCGUGGGGAGCAAACAGG